CCGCAGGGUGAUCCAGCCAUGCCGCGUGCAGGAAAGAAGGCCCUAUGGGUCGUAAACUGCUUUUGCACCAGAGAAAACCCUCCUUCGUGAAGGGGGCUGAUAGUAUGGUGAGAAUAAGCAUCGGCUAACUUCGUGCCAGCAGCCGCGGUAAGACGAAGGAUGCAAGCGUUAUCCGGAUUCAUUGGGUUUAAAGGGAGCGUAGGCGGCCUUAUAAGUCAGUGGUGAAAUCUUUCCGCUUAACGGGAAAAUUGCCAUUGAUACUGUAGGGCUUGAGUACAGUUGCCGUUGGCGGAAUAUGACAUGUAGUGGUGAAAUACAUAGAGAUGUCAUAGAACACCGAUUGCGAAGGCAGCUAACGAAACUGUAACUGACGCUGAGGCUCGAAAGUGUGGGGAUCAAACAGGAUUAGAUACCCUGGUAGUCCACACUGUAAACGAUGAUUACUCGCUGCUGGGGGGCAACCUUCAGUGGCUUAGCGAAAGCGAUAAGUAAUCCACCUGGGGAGUACGCCGGCAACGGUGAAACUCAAAGGAAUUGACGGGGGCCCGCACAAGCGGAGGAGCAUGUGGUUUAAUUCGAUGAUACGCGAGGAACCUUACCAGGGCUUGAAAGUUAGUGACCGGUGGUGAAAGCCACUUUUCAGCAAUGACACGAAACUAGGUGCUGCAUGGCUGUCGUCAGCUCGUGCCGUGAGGUGUUGGGUUAAGUCCCGCAACGAGCGCAACCCCUACCAAUAGUUGCCAGCGGUUCGGCCGGGGACUCUAUUGGAACUGCCCGUGCAAACGGAGAGGAAGGUGGGGACGACGUCAAGUCAUCACGGCCCUUACGUCCUGGGCUACACACGUGCUACAAUGGCUAUUACAGAGGGCAGCUACNCAGCAAUGUGAUGCAAAUCUUCAAAAAUAGUCUCAGUUCGGAUUGGGGUC
rnacentral:rRNA from 1 species